AUUGAACGCUGGCGGCGUGCUUAACACAUGCAAGUCGAUCGGUAACAGGUGUAGCAAUACAUGCUGACGAGAGGCGGACGGGUGAGGAAUAUUUGGGAAUCUGCCCAUCAGCGGGGGACAACCCGGGGAAACCCGGGCUAAUACCGCAUACGCUCUACGGAGGAAAGCCGGGGACCGCAAGGCCUGGCACUGAUGGAUGAGCCCAAAUCGGAUUAGCUAGUUGGCGGGGUAACGGCCCACCCAGGCGACGAUCCGUAGCUGGUCUGAGAGGACGAUCAGCCACACCGGAACUGAGACACGGUCCGGACUCCUACGGGAGGCAGCAGUGGGGAAUAUUGGACAAUGGGGGAAACCCUGAUCCAGCGACGCCGCGUGGGUGAAGAAGGCCUGCGGGUUGUAAAGCCCUUUCGGUAGGGACGAAAGCUCUUGCUCCAACAAAGCAGGAGGUUGACUUAACCUACAUAAGAAGCACCGGCUAACUCUGUGCCAGCAGCCGCAGUAAGAC
rnacentral:rRNA from 1 species